rnacentral:snoRNA from 1 species
CACAGCGAUGAUGUGCCUACAGACCUGUAAUGAUUUUUGCGGAGAUGAUCGCAUAAUCAAAGAACAUCUAAGGGACUGAGUUAUU